UGCAAAUUAUCAACGAUUUCAUACUCGAUAAGAAAAAACACCUAUAAGAUCCUAACAAUUAAAUGUAUGUUCUAUAAAUAUAUGAGAGAUGUUAUAGAAUGAAUCUGAAAGCAAGGGAUCUCAGGCGUAUUUGAUAAUAGGUUUUGAAUCAUACACAAAUAGUGUGACUUGUGUGUUAUGUAUAGCCUAGAGUGAACUGAUAAUAACUCGAAAGCGCGUAGUAUCCUGUAGGCGAUGGACUAUCUCUCCAAGUUUUCAUCUUGGCCAAGAGAGAUGGUCGUUAUGAUAUGAGUUCUUAAGUCAGUUUCAAUCUCACAACAGGUUUAGUUUCAUAGUGGAGUAUUAUAAUUGGAUGUACUGUAUAGCCCAUUUCAGCAAUAGACGUGAAUGCAGAUAUACAGCCAUUUUGCUAGUGUUAAAAAAACCAGUGAUAUAAAAUUAUAAUUGAACAGCUUUGACAGAUACAUGAUUUAACUAAAUAACGAGAGCUACAGAUAUUAGAUGAAGUGAAUUAAUAUAAACAAAGGGUGAUUAAUAUACUGAGAGGUAAAUAAUAAUUCAAGAUAUUGUACAAUUAAGAUAUCAUUUUAUCAGGAUGAAGAUUUGGGAUAUUGUAGAGAAAUGUGUGGUGUAUUUUAUAGGAAUGGUCAUUGUUUUAACAGGUAUGUGCGAUGGAUUACGGUGCUGGCAUUGUAUAGCAGAUAAUUGUGAUGAAGAUCCUAGUAGUAAUUAUAAAGCCAGUCAAAAAGAUUGUCUACAGGGACAAAUUUGUCAG